rnacentral:rRNA from 1 species
GUUGGGGCCUGCUCGGUGAUUAAAUAUUUAACAGCUGCGGUAUUAUAACUGUACUAAGGUAGCAUAAUAAUUUGCUCUAUAAAUUGGGGCUAGAAUGAAUGGUUUGACGAAAAUUUGACUGUCUCUAUUUUAUUUAUUAGAAAUUAAUUUUUGUAGUGAGAAAGCUUAAAUUGUUUAAAGGGACGAAAAGACCCUAUUGAGCUUAUAUUAUUUUAUAAAUUAUAUGAUUGUUGUUUAUUUAGAAUAAUUUUGAUUGGGGUGAUCAAGGAAUAAGAUUGUUUAAAUUAACUUCCUUAAUUAAUUUGUUUUGUGGAAAAAUAAACCAAAUUUUUUGCUUAGAAGAUAAGUUACCAUAGGGAUAACAGCGUAAUUUUUUUUGAGAGUUCAUAUUGAAAAAAGAGAUUGCGACCUCGAUGUUGGAUUAAAAUUAACCUUAAGGUGAAGAGGCUUUAUUAGGUAAAUCUGUUCGAUUUUUAAAA